GAUGGGCCAGUGGGUAACAGAGGACUGCAGGGCAUCGAGGGCGCGAUGGGUGUGAUAGGAACCACUGGUCAAAAUGGCUUCCGAGGAGACCCGGGCCCGAGGGGGGAUGAUGGAGACAAGGGGGAUUCUGGACCUAAAGGAGACAAAGUAAAGAUUCUGUUACACCGUAUAGAUAGAUUUUCUCAGCAGAGACCUAAAUCUAAUCAUUUAUCACACCAGAGAGUGAUACCUGUUGCUACUUUGCAGCAGUGGAGAGGUAAAAUGUUAUAUGAGAGAUAGCACACACUUAAGUCUGAAAGUAACUCCAAAGAGAUCAGUGACACCAGAGCCAGACACCAGAACAAUAGUCAGCAUUUAUGACUGGAAUGGAUCUGAUAUAUUUUUCUUAAAGAGUUUUGCUCACAUGAUUACAAGUACUUGGCAGCUUGAUCAUUCCAGUGUUAAAAAUGUCAAAACCAAUACAGUCGCAUAAUAUGGAUGACCAUGCAAUAGCACUUUCUUUUUCUCUCUCUUCUCCUGGCUAGGGUCCUAAUGGUGUCUCUGGUGUAAUGGGACCUCAAGGAGAGAGGGGUCAGAUUGGCCUUCUUGGCCCAUCAGGUCAGAGAGGUCGACCGGGG